rnacentral:lncRNA from 1 species
GGCACUUUGUGCGAGGUCUGCAGACCAUGCUGGCUGGAGCGGACACCUCGCUGUGUGUAGAAGCCGCCUCGCCUCCCCGAGCCCCUGGACCAGAGAGUGUUACCAACCCCUAUUCCUUCCCUGAAAAAGUGUGGUGGUGAAUGUUUGUCAUGGACUCUGCAACGCUCCUGGGUGCAUGCAUUUUCUGAAUGCUUUGUUACAUGUUUUUCAGGACAGUUGAGGGCUGAGGUCACGUUAGCACUGACUUGCUGUGCACGGGGGUGGAUGACCGGGCCUCCUGCUCUGGGGGCUCAUUGGAGGGAGCUGAGGGUCUGGGGGACACCCUCAGCGUCCACAUCAGUGGCUUCCUCUGUGAGUGGCUGAGAGUGAGGUGGGAGGCUCAGCUGCAGGAGGUGUGUUAUCCACCGGGACCUGAUCAGCUUGAGCUCUUGGGGUUUACCCACUUACGAGAAGCAAACUUUCCCUCAACAGCUUCAUUCUUACUGGCUCUGAAGUGUGUGGCAGCUUUUAUCAUGGAAGUCAGCAUGCUAGAAAUGAACAAGAAAACGUGCCAAGAAGCGUGGUUGGUGACGAGGGGGUGAGAGCCUGGCGCGCGGGUGAGGAGAGGGUGAGAGCCUGGUGCACAGCCAGUGCGGGAGCCCCCUGCAUCCGUCCCCUUGCUCCAAUGACAGCUCCCGUGGGGAACAAAGCUCAAAGCCUCUCUCCUCAGCAACACAGGGCAGAACUUGUCCCUUGUUUGGUUUUUGUGGCCGCUGCCCUGGGCCUCCCCACCCUCUGCUUCGCACGAGGUCCUGGUCUUCCGCCCUUAGCUGGCGUCUGCUCCUCCUCCUGCAACUCCCGCUCCCUGGGACUCUGAGGUCCAUGUCGCCCUUGGCUCCUCACUCUCCCGCUGUCCUUGACACCUGGUGUCUUCGUCUUCACACACACUCAAGAACACGCAUGCACAGGUGUACAUCUUCCCACAGUGCAAUUCGUUCUCUCUGUCCAAGAUGGAGAAGAUAUGAGAAUGAACUUUAGCCAGGCUCUCCCCAGGAUCUCUGUCGCGGGCUCCAAAGUCCCUGGAAUGAGACGGAGA